rnacentral:rRNA from 1 species
CGUGACAGGAAUAUUUGGCGGGCAAGAUGCCCACUGAUAUGCUUCUAUGCUGUCGAGUGGCACUACCCAGACCGUGUCGCAAGACAAUUUGGGAGAAGGCAAGGGACACCAAGGGAUGAGAGUUUCGAGAAGUGCCAAUUUCUGCAUCGAAUUAGUCGAAAGAAUAACCUGGAAACUUCGACUUGGGCCAUCAAGCACUCCGAGUGGAUAAGUCUGUGGAAUCAAAGAGUGGCCCUAGUGGAGAAGGAAAGAAGACAACAUAGUGAUUCAGUAUACGAAGAGCAUCUGAAGUGGCUUGCGAGACGUUACCGGUUGAAGCUAAAGCCCGGUUGGAACCGUUCGGAAUUGGAAGAGUUGGAUCGUGAGAGCGGGUAUAUGGACUUCAAUGUACAAACGAGAGACAACGAA